AGGACGAACGCUGGCGACGUGCUUAACACAUGCAAGUCGAGCGGAAAGGCCCUUCGGGGUACUCGAGCGGCGAACGGGUGAGUAACACGUGAGUAACCUGCCCCUAGCUCUGGGAUAGCUCCGGGAAACCGGGAUUAAUACCAGAUACGACCACUUUAGACAUCUGUCGUGGUGGAAAGGAUUCCGGCUAGGGAUGGGCUCGCGGCCUAUCAGCUUGUUGGCGGGUAACGGCCCACCAAGGCGAAGAUCGGUA
rnacentral:rRNA from 1 species